GCUCAUGUGUCCGAGUGGUUUAUGGUACUUCCCUGCUACGGAAGUGGGCUAAUUGGCCUCGCAGGUUCGAAUCCUGUCGUGAGCG
rnacentral:tRNA from 1 species